rnacentral:sRNA from 1 species
CCCUAGCCCCGAUUGCAACGACAUCCUUUUUGGGUACGGCUGUAUCCCGAAACUUCGGGAGGAAGCCCUACCCAAAAAGAUACAGUGGAAAGCGGGAUUAAGC